rnacentral:misc_RNA from 1 species
AAGUCGUAACAAGGUUUCCGUAGGUGAACCUGCGGAAGGAUCAUUAUCAAUUGAUUCAUUCUAAUUUUGUGAACCCAACCCUAACACCCACUGCUUUGGGGAAAGCUGGCUGCGGCGUUCUGCGCCAAAGCUGGGGCCAACGUUUGUUGGCUUAGGCCAUGUCUAGUGUUGUUUCGGCGAUGCUGGAUGGACGCGAUUCUUUGGAUUGCGACUCUUUCCUCAAAGUAUGGAUGAUUUUACCUAUUUUUAUGUCAAGGCUAAAUCAACAACGUCGACGUUGGAGUACGCGUAAUGGCGCUCUGUCGACGGUCAAUUUUUAUAACUUUCAGCAACGGAUCUCUCGGCUCUU